GCUCUUGGAGCUCUUGGAGAUCCAGCACAGGGCUGGGGGACAGGUGAGGGGCCUUGAGGGCGUUUCUUUUGUGAGGGCAGGCUGAGGGAGCUGGGCCUGUUCAAUGCCGAGAAGAGAUGACUGACAGGGGACUGUAUCAAUGUGUAUAAAUACCUGAAGGGAAGGCGUCAGAGGAUGGAACCAGGUGGUGCCGAGCAAUAGGACAGGAGGCAAUGGGCACAAACUGAUGCACAGGACUUCCACCUUAACAUGAGGAAGAACUCCUUUGCUGUGGGCAGCAGGUGCAGCCGUGUUUUUCUCAAUGACCAAUUCCAGAUUCACCAAAACCAGGACCUCCUAUUACGUGUCUCUUCUAGAUGGAAGAGUUAAAUUUUUCAUUUAAAUAAAUGCAUUCUGUGGCCAUUUGAACCCAGUCAGCGGCUAAGAGUGUUCUUCUGGAGAGACCACACGCAACUCCAGCAUGGAGGAAUUCCAUGCCUGAAGCAGAGAGCCCUUUCUGAGCUCAGCAGCCCACAGCAUCACUGGAGACCACGUGUCAGAACACUUGGCACAGUGACAUCAGCCUGAUUUUCCCAUCUUCCAAAGGUGGAAAAGCACUAUUUGUUAUUCAAGAUGGGUUUGUUGCAACCAAUAAGCAGAGGAUAUUAGUAACAGUAGGAUGCUAAUCUUGUUUCCAUAUCUCAGUUCAAUGCCACAACUUUUUGAGGAUGAGGUCACUAUUUUACCCUUGAUUGUUAUUUAAUUUAUAAAAAUCCAUAUCACACUUUAAACAAAAGUUUUACUGUAGAAAUUUUUCUAAGGUAAGAAAUUUCAGGAUGCUAUCAUCUUAUUUCAGUGAUUUUCUGCUGAUGAUGCUACAGAAUGAAUUGAAAACUAUAUGGCAAGUUGGUCGCCAAGUUAGGGUUCACUGCCCAACUCCCAUGCUCUUGAUAAGCUGGGCAUUAAUGAUGUUUCCUGCCUCCAGAGGCUAGGGAGCCUUCUGAUGAAGGGAAAGUGAUCAGAAGUUUAAAACAGAUCCUAGGAGAGCAAAGAGUAAGUAAUGCUGUACCUAUUUGGGGAAAUGGUUGAAUUCGGAGUAAAUCUCCAAGUCUGAGUGUCUCCUGAUGAAAGAAAAAAAUAUCACAAACAGGGGGGAAGACUAUAGUUUAGGUGGAUGGUUGCACUAAGUGGAUAGGAUACUACUUCUCUUCAAGAUGAAGAAGCAACAACAAUGAACAAUGUGGAACUCAAAAACUAUUCACAAUCAGUUCACAGCUGUAUUCUGGCUAUCAAGGGCAAAAUACAUUUCCACUAUCUUUGCCCUCUGCUGCAGGUAAAGGAAGAAUCAGUCUUACAAAAAUCCAUUAAUAAUAUGUUUUAUGUGUAAAUAGAUGUGCCAUUACUCAAAUAAUACACAUCUAGAAAAGUAAAAGAAAAAUCAAUCAAAUUAAAAUUCCUGAAAGUAGUAAUAGAAAGGUAUGUACUCAGUGUACGUAUGAUAUAUGUACAGAACAUUUUUGCCUUAUGACAGAGACAAGCCUUUUAAAAUUAUUACCAACACAGAAUUAACAUUAGAGACCAGACAAGAGAACAUUAGAGAAUACACAAGAAGAUGGCACUGUGCAUCAAAUGUCAUUAUUUCUCAUGAGGAGCCAGUCACAUGUUUUUAAAGCAGCGGUUUGUAAUGCCCAUUCUGAAAGGCCACAGAGAGCUGUCUGCUCAGCCAUGCUGAGUAAUGUAUUAGCAGUAAUAACCAGCAUUCUGCCUGAUUGGAUGACCAGAGAACUUUGAUCUUGCAAAUGAUGUACUGUAGGUGGUUCCCAACCACCUAAAGAAAAACAGAAAAACAUAUAAAUAGUUCAUUUUCUUUAAAGCUCAUGAUGUCUGUAGUCUUUCCAAACAAAAUUAAUACCCUGAGAAUCCAUAAGGUGCUGCUCCAUUAUUUGGUAUCCCUUCUGA